rnacentral:rRNA from 1 species
UACGUAGGGAGCAAGCGUUGUCCGGAAUCAUUGGGCGUAAAGAGCGUGUAGGCGCCAGACAGGUCCGUUGUGAAAACUCGAGGCUCAACCUCGAGACGCCGAUGGAAACCGUCUGGCUAGAGUCCGGAAGAGGAGAGUGGAAUUCCUGGUGUAGCGGUGAAAUGCGCAGAUAUCAGGAAGAACACCCGUGGCUAAGGCGGCUCUCUAGUACGGUACUGACGCUGAGACGCGAAAGCGUGGGGAGCGAACAGG